GACGAACGCUGGCGGCGUGCUUAACACAUGCAAGUCGAACGGAAAGGCUCCAGCUUGCUGGAGUACUCGAGUGGCGAACAGGUGAGUAACACGUGGGUAAUCUGCCCUGCACUCUGGGAUAAGCCUGGGAAACUGGGUCUAAUACUGGAUAUGACCUUUCUCCUUAUGGGGUUUGGUGGAAAGUUUUUCGGUGUAGGAUGAGCCCGCGGCCUAUCAGCUUGUUGGUGGGGUGAUGGCCUACCAAGGCGACGACGGGUAGCCGGCCUGAGAGGGUGAUCGGCCACAUUGGGACUGAGAGAGGGCCCAGACGCCUACGGGAGGCAGCAGGGGGGAAUAUUGCACAAUGGGGGGAAGCCUGAGGCAGCGACGCCGCGUUAGGGAUGACGGCCUUCGGGUUGUAAACCUCUUUCAGCAGGGACGAAGCGUAAGUGACGGUACCUGCAGAAGAAGCACCGGCUAACUAUGUG
rnacentral:rRNA from 1 species